GUUACACACGCGUACCGCUAGUGGCGGGAGGUAGCGGUAAAAUAAAACGAGAAAAGGCUGCGCACCGCGUUGCGUGCAGCGGCGGUGGAGCGGAUUCCCACAAACGAAACACUUUACACGAAGGACGCUCAACCCUGUGAAGGGACAACAAAGGCUGCGGACGCAGGAGUACCCGUACGAGUUACAGGGUGCCCGCACUUUUCUUCGUGCUUUUGAAGGAAACGAAAUCUGUGUGCCAGACCGCAAAAACGCAGCAAGGUUCCAGGCCUCUUCUCUCGUAUACAGGGAUGGCGGUCGCAAAACCAACCGGCCAGCUGAGCUCCGUCAUUCUGGAUUGCGGUGCGCUCGAAAGUGGCACCAGUCAGGGCUCACAACCACAGCCAGCCAAGAUCGAAAUGAACCCCUCGAAAUCAAGCAAGUCAGAAAAGGAGCCACCAAGAAUGAUCGCUUGCAGAGGGAUAGGGUGUACGGCUAUGGCCUUCGCCGCCAUUUGGCUCACAGCGGGCGCCGUCAUGAUUGCCAUGCACGAAACGUCCAGAGUUAAUUCCCACAACCUCACCCGCGUUUACAAAAUUCCCGUAGACUAUAUUGGUGCUUGUUUAAUUGCUGCCGGUGGGCUGUUUGGACUAUUUGCUAUGCUGAUGUAUUGGCGGCAGAGAACGGUGUAGACAAUAACGCUCGCGCGACAUCCGCAUGGAUAGGUCGCUCUAUUCAGCGACUGUUAUCACUCUCGUCUGCACGUGUUUCUUCUGCGGACGAAUGCCCUUUUACGAGAAAUGGAAUGCUUUAGUGUUUCUGUUUGGGUGUUUAGUGUUUUACAAGGCGGUAUAUGCCACGUCAACGAAUGAUCGGCGAAGUUAUCAAUUUGCUCGCUCAAUUGUUUUUAUUGAAAUGUUGUAUCGAAAUGUUUUUAGAGCCUUGGAGUGCAAUGAUAACUUUAACAAACCCCAUGAUGCGAAGAAUGUGCGUGCCGCGUUUGUUCUCGAAUACAAGUAUACGCGACAUGCUGCUACAUUUCAAUGCAAAUAUGUAUACGUACGCACGUUGUGAGGUAUAUGUCAACUAACCUUGCAUUUCCACUCCUGUGAUACGAAAUGCAUUCCACAAAGUUCUUACAACAAAAGUUGUAAACUUUUAGUUUUGCGAAACGUGUUCACGUUUUGUAAUUAAGUGUCACCGUUCAACAUACAUGCGAGGAAAAUGUCUCGUGUGUACAGAAAAAAGUCAUGUAAAUAAAACUGUUCAAGAUGGCCGAA